rnacentral:lncRNA from 1 species
GUGCAGCCAUUGAUAUCUUCCCCGAGUCAGCGAAACCUUACAGCCUGAUAGCAUUGUGCAGUUGUGUCUCUUUAUUUACAUAACUCGUAGUCUGGUUCGUCUAUCAGUCCCCACUGAUGUAAUUUGAAUGGGAAAGAAGAGUUUCGUAGAUAGAACUAAACAUGAAUGAUAUUCUGAAUGGUUCAAUCCUCCAUAACUCUGUCCAGGUUAUCUUUUUUCAACUACAUUCACGCUCUUUGACGGCUUAGCUCUACUGCUUUUACCCUUCUUUGUUCUUCUUCUGGUUGGUCUUUUUCAUUUUUAGCCAUGGCGUUAUCAGUUUAUUUUCAAUCUAUGAGUUUGACUGUUCCUCUGGUAUCUUUCGCCCUCUUUCCUGCUUGAUGGACUGGCCAUAUUCGCCCAGAGUCAUAUGCUCUUUACUACUUUGUAUUCCUCUUGAUGUUAA